UACGUAGGGUGCAAGCGUUGUCCGGAUUUAUUGGGCGUAAAGAGCGUGUAGGCGGCCAGACAAGUCCGUGGUGAAAACUGGAGGCUUAACCUUCAGACGUCGAUGGAAACCGUCUGGCUAGAGUCCGGAAGAGGAGAGUGGAAUUCCUGGUGUAGCGGUGAAAUGCGCAGAUAUCAGGAAGAACACCCGUGGCUAAGGCGGCUCUCUAGUACGGUACUGACGCUGAGACGCGAAAGCGUGGGGAGCGAACAGG
rnacentral:rRNA from 1 species